CCCUGUUGAGCUUGACUCUAGUCCG
rnacentral:ncRNA from 2 species